rnacentral:lncRNA from 1 species
UUUACCGAUGUGGUUGUCCUCGAUGUGCUCGAUGAGGUCGGCCAGGGUGGGGAAGUGGAGUCCGCAGCCCCCGAAUCGGCAGAGAUGGAGUUUUGCCAUUUGCCCAGGCUGGACUCGCAGUCCUGGACUCAACCACCUUGGCCUCCCAAAGUGCUGGGAUUACAGGGGUUCCUGUUGAGAUUAAAGUAAAUGCAUUUACCAGCAUACAUGUCAUGGAAGACUGACUCUGCACCAUGCUCUGUGACAAAAGGCUUCAAGAUUAAACCGGUUUGUUUCUUAACAGUGUGACCCACAUAGCCAAUGUUAGCAAGCACUGGAAGAGAACACUAUUAAUUACAGCUUUAAGUGGCCACUAAACAUGCAGAAGAUUUCCUCUGAACUGAGAGUUGAAGGAUAUGGUGCAACAAGCCCAUUUCCUGGCACUGGAAAGCGGAGAGAGAGCUGCAGGAGAGGCGGUGGUGAAGGAAGCAGUGCAGGGCCAUGCGUGGCCCCCGACGUGGGCAUUCGGCUGGAGCUCUUGAUUCUAGGUCCCAGCCUGAGUACACGAGGAUUCCUCUGGCCUGUUAGCUACAACUUCCUCUUCUGGAGGUCUUACUUGUCAUCUAUGUCUUGGUCGUCUGCAUAUAUUUUCUAGAAAUUUCCUCAAGCCCUUCUACCGUGAAGGUGAGCCGUGAAGUCUAUUGCCCAGGGAUUGGGGACGUUUGUAUUAAAGAAGGUUUUGGAGUACAGAAGCAGGAAGAUGUGUUGUGGAGAUGCUGUUGGCAGAAACAACUGGCCUUGACUAAACAAACCAAGAGUUCCUACAGGAGCAGAGGCAACCGGGUGAAGGCUGACGCCCUUGCACAGGCUUGGGCAGCUCUUCUCCACAUGUCCACGUGGCUCACUUCCUUACCUACUUCAGGGCUCUGCUCACACGUCACCUCCUCAAGAAGGCCUUCCCCAACUACCCUGUCCUCACUCCCACCCCUUACCCCUGCAUUCCCUGUCCCUCUCACUCUGCUGUGGUUUAUCCUACCUGACAUAGAACAGGUUUAUCUCCCUGUUGUCUAGCAGGCUUUUAUCCAGUUCUGCUUUGCCGGACUGUAUUAAGUAAGUCUCAGUUCCUGGGCUUUAUCACUCAGCAUGGGUGGAACACACGAAAAUGGGAUUUUCCUGUUCCCACUACAGCACUUUUCUUGUGGAUACCACAUCUCCCCAUGUGCAAUAUUCUAUUCCCAUCUCACUCUUACCUUGUGCAGAGCUAUUUUCUCAGAGCAUGAGUCUCUGAACGGAAAAUCUACUGCUUUGUGCCCUGCCUGAGGAUAAGCUUCACCAGAGCAGUCUAUAUUGUUGUUGCUGUUGUUGUUGUUUAUUGCUGUAUUCCUAGCUUCUAGAACAGUGCCUGGCAUGGCAAUCAGUGGCAUGAGUAAAUUUAUGAGUAUAUAUAAUGGACAAGUUUGGGAGAAGAUAAUUAGUUUGGAAACGGGAGAGUUUAGUGGGAGAGACAGGGCCCUGACUACCUCAAAAAGCAGCAGUACUAUAAGAGGACAGAGUUUCUAUUUUUCUGCCUGGUCUAGGACUUGUACUG